rnacentral:rRNA from 1 species
UGAGGAAUAUUGGUCAAUGGGCGAGAGCCUGAACCAGCCACGUCGCGUGAAGGAAGACUGACCUUACGGUUUGUAAACUUCUUUUGUAUGGGAUUAAAGUCACCUACGUGUAGGUGUUUGCAGUUACCAUACGAAUAAGCAUCGGCUAACUCCGUGCCAGCAGCCGCGGUAAUACGGAGGAUGCGAGCGUUAUCCGGAAUUAUUGGGUUUAAAGGGUGCGUAGGUUGCAAGGGAAGUCAGGGGUGAAAAGCUAUAGCUCAACUAUGGUCUUGCCUUUGAAACUCUCUAGCUAGAGUGUACUGGAGGUACGUGGAACGUGUGGUGUAGCGGUGAAAUGCAUAGAUAUCACACAGAACUCCGAUUGCGCAGGCAGCGUACUACAUUACAACUGACACUGAAGCACGAAAGCGUGGGUAUCAAACAGG